UUAAAGUUCAAAUAUUAUCCAUAUGCCCAUUGCCCAACAGCCCAAGCCCAACAAAAACUUGACUUACCCUAAUUUCAAUAUUGUCCGCCUCUCUUUUCUCAAGUUCUCAGUUAGUUUUCUCAGUUUCUCACUCCUCUAGUCCUCUUCUCUCUCGAGCUCUCCUCUUUAGUCUCUACUUCUUUUCUCAGAACUUUAGAAGUCAGAUCUACACCACCACAUCUCCGACCAUCGUCAAAGACUCAAAACCACCACAAUCUUCCCUCACUUUUCCAUUAGAAGCGGCGCCGCCCCUCACUCCUCCACCAGAAGCGGCGACGCCCCUCACUCCUCCACCAAGAGUUGUUGACUUGCCGUAUGCUGAUACUUUGUUGAUCCGCUAUCGGUUUUCGACGUUGAUGACUUUUUUUUAGUAUAAGAUAAAAAUAUAAAAUGCAUGUAUUGUUAACAUUUGGACAUUAAUGUAUUUGGACUUUAAAUUUUCUUUGUUAUAUAAUUUGUACUUUUGUAGUAGUUAACUAGUUACCCAAUUAGUUUGCAUUUUGGCAGGUUAUUUGUAUUUUGUAAUUUUAUUAUUUUGUUUUUUCUGAAAAUUAGUUGUGGACAAUAUUUACAAGUCCAUUAGUCCACUUUUUUAAUAGGAUAAUUACACAUCUAUUUUAUCUCUCUUUUUUCAGUGAGUAACAUGAGGAGAAAAUGGGAAAAAAAAAUCAAUUUUGCCAUUUAAAACAACUAGUAAUCAAAGUAGUCGGAUAUAGGAUAUCCGAUAUAUCCGAUCCGAAAAUUUUGGAUAUCCGGAUUUUCGGAUAUUCGAACAUUUCGGAUCGGAUACAAAUAUCAAAUAUACGUAUUUUCGGAUACGGAUAUCCGAUCCGAAAUGGGAUUUUGGAUCGGAUAUCCGAACCGUGAUCAGGCCUGAGUAAGCAUAGAAUUCAUAAUUUCAUACUUCGUAUAAUAGUUAAAAGUAGUAAGAACUAGUAAGCAAGUUCUCAUUCUAAAAAGUCACUCUUUUAAAUAAUGUUACCCUGGUAUAACGUAUAAUCAUCAAUUUUUACUAAGAAAAAAAGGUUCAUAAUUAGCUGCCAUAGACUCCCUCAGAAGAGAGAAAAAAAAAAAAAAA